rnacentral:tRNA from 1 species
GCAGUGGUGGUUCAAUGGUAGAAUUCUCACCUUCCAUGUGGGAGAUCUGGAUUUGAUUCCUAACCAAUGCG